rnacentral:rRNA from 1 species
UUGGCUGGUAUAGGCGUCUGAACCGAACCCGAUCCCAUCUCGAACUCGGCCGGUAAAUCAGACAGCGCCGAUGGUACUAACGCUGAAGCGUUGGAAGAGUAGGUCGUUGUCCAAG